GUCGAGCGGUAGAGAGAAGCUUGCUUCUCUUGAGAGCGGCGGACGGGUGAGUAAUGCCUAGGAAUCUGCCUGAUAGUGGGGGAUAACGUUCGGAAACGGACGCUAAUACCGCAUACGUCCUACGGGAGAAAGCAGGGGACCUUCGGGCCUUGCGCUAUCAGAUGAGCCUAGGUCGGAUUAGCUAGUUGGUGAGGUAAUGGCUCACCAAGGCGACGAUCCGUAACUGGUCUGAGAGGAUGAUCAGUCACACUGGAACUGAGACACGGUCCAGACUCCUACGGGAGGCAGCAGUGGGGAAUAUUGGACAAUGGGCGAAAGCCUGAUCCAGCCAUGCCGCGUGUGUGAAGAAGGUCUUCGGAUUGUAAAGCACUUUAAGUUGGGAGGAAGGGCAUUAACCUAAUACGUUAGUGUUUUGACGUUACCGACAGAAUAAGCACCGGCUAACUCUGUGCCAGCAGCCGCGGUAAUACAGAGGGUGCAAGCGUUAAUCGGAAUUACUGGGCGUAAAGCGCGCGUAGGUGGUUUGUUAAGUUGGAUGUGAAAUCCCCGGGCUCAACCUGGGAACUGCAUUCAAAACUGACUGACUAGAGUAUGGUAGAGGGUGGUGGAAUUUCCUGUGUAGCGGUGAAAUGCGUAGAUAUAGGAAGGAACACCAGUGGCGAAGGCGACCACCUGGACUAAUACUGACACUGAGGUGCGAAAGCGUGGGGAGCAAACAGGAUUAGAUACCCUGGUAGUCCACGCCGUAAACGAUGUCAACUAGCCGUUGGAAGCCUUGAGCUUUUAGUGGCGCAGCUAACGCAUUAAGUUGACCGCCUGGGGAGUACGGCCGCAAGGUUAAAACUCAAAUGAAUUGACGGGGGCCCGCACAAGCGGUGGAGCAUGUGG
rnacentral:rRNA from 1 species